AGAGUUUGAUCCUGGCUCAGAACGAACGCUGGCGGCAGGCUUAACACAUGCAAGUCGAAAGCACCGCAAGGUGAGUGGCAGACGGGUGAGUAACGCGUGGGUACCUACCUAUCGGAUCGGAAUAACUCGGGGAAACUCGAGCUAAGACCGGAUACGCCCUUCGGGGGAAUGAUUUAUCGCCGAUAGAUGGGCCCGCGUUGGAUUAGCUAGUUGGUGAGGUAAAGGCUCACCAAGGCUACGAUCCAUAGCUGGUCUUAGAGGAUGAUCAGCCACACUGGGACUGAGACACGGCCCAGACUCCUACGGGAGGCAGCAGUGGGGAAUAUUGGACAAUGGGGGCAACCCUGAUCCAGCCAUGCCGCGUGAGUGAUGAAGGCCUUAGGGUUGUAAAGCUCUUUCGCCCGGGAAGAUAAUGACUGUACCGGGUAAAGAAGCCCCGGCUAACUUCGUGCCAGCAGCCGCGGUAAUACGAUGGGGGCUAGCGUUGUUCGGAAUUACUGGGCGUAAAGCGCACGUAGGCGGAUCAUCAAGUCAGGGGUGAAAUCCCGGGGCUCAACCUCGGAAUUGCCUCGAUACUGGUGAUCUUGAGUACGUGAGAGGUGAGUGGAGCUCCGAGUGUAGACGUGAAAUUCGUAGAUAUUCGGACGAACACCAGUUGGCGAAGGCGGCUCACUGGCACGGUACUGACGCUGAGGUGCGAAAGCGUGGGAGCAACUGGAUUGAUACCUGNAGUCAGGCGAAUGCAGCCCUGCGCGU
rnacentral:rRNA from 1 species